GUCUAAACAAACGAUGAAGAAAUUGUUAAAGCAUCAUUUGAUUUUUUCUUUGUAAUUUCACAUUUACGUCUCCCAAAGCAACUUUUAAUCCUGUAGUGAUCUGUCUGGGAACAGCGUUGGUAAUGUGUGGGAUCGUGAUCUCUGUUCAAGCUGCUUUACUCUGUAAAAGGAAAAACUGUGAUCAGUACAGAGAGAGAAUCCAGCAUGGAAAUGUUAUAAACACAGAGAAGACAAACACUCAGGACCAUGACACUGUGGAGGUGAAUUACGCUGCCUUAGACUUCAAUGAAAGGAAAACUAAAAGAGCGAGAGAAAAUCGAGGUCGAUCUCAACACAGUGUAUACUCUGAAGUGAAAUCUUCCAGUAUUACUUAAAAUAUUUUUGAAUUUUUUUUUUUCAGCUGAUUUAUUUUUUCUGCUCAUAAGUAAAGUUUAAGGCAGCAGUCUGUGCUGAAUCUGUUUUAGAUUUAAACACUAAAAACUCAAAGAAUUCAAAUAGGUUUAGUUAUUUGUGAGAAACAUGGUUUAAUUCUGUGUUAAUAAAAUGAUGAACAUGAUCUCAAAUGAUCUACAUGUAAAUUUGUCUGUAAUGUCAGAACUUUUACAUCUGCUUGUCAUAAAACGCUUGAUUGAAAAGUUUUGUUUUCUGUACUGAGUAUCUCAGCAAAGCUUUACAUGACCAAUGAUUCCUGUCCAUUUGGUUUGUUUUCUAUAAUGUCAGCUUUGUAA